rnacentral:rRNA from 1 species
AUUGAACGCUGGCGGCAUGCCUUACACAUGCAAGUCGAACGGCAGCACGGGUGCUUGCACCUGGUGGCGAGUGGCGAACGGGUGAGUAAUACAUCGGAACGUACCUUAUCGUGGGGGAUAACGCAGCGAAAGCUGUGCUAAUACCGCAUACGCCCUGAGGGGGAAAGCGGGGGAUCGCAAGACCUCGCGCGAUUAGAGCGGCCGAUGCCUGAUUAGCUUGUUGGUGGGGUAAAAGCCCACCAAGGCGACGAUCAGUAGCUGGUCUGAGAGGACGAUCAGCCAAACUGGGACUGAGACACGGCCCAGACUCCUACGGGAGGCAGCAGUGGGGAAUUUUGGACAAUGGGGGCAACCCUGAUCCAGCAAUGCCGCGUGAGUGAAGAAGGCCUUAGGGUUGUAAGCUCUUUUGUCAGGGAAGAAACACCGGCUCUAACACAGUCCGGGAAUGACGGUACCUGAAGAAUAAGCACCGGCUAACUACGUGCCAGCCGCCGCGGUAA